UAGAAAGUAGUAUAACACCGGUAAAACGAAGAAUUUUGAUUUCUUAAAUAUAAGUUCAACUCUUAUCUUUCUAA
rnacentral:tRNA from 1 species